rnacentral:rRNA from 1 species
GAGCGAACGCUGGCGGCAGGCUUAACACAUGCAAGUCGAGCGGGCGUAGCAAUACGUCAGCGGCAGACGGGUGAGUAACGCGUGGGAACAUACCUUUUGGUUCGGACAACACAGGGAAACUUGUGCUAAUACCGGAUAAGCCCUUACGGGGAAGAUUAUCGCCGAAGAUUGGCCCGCGUCUGAUUAGCUAGUUGGUGAGGUAAUGGCUCACCAAGGCGACGAUCAGUAGCUGGUCUGAGAGGAUGAUCAGCCACAUUGGG